AAACGUAGGAGGCGAGCGUUAUCCGGAUUUACUGGGUGUAAAGCGCGUGCAGGCGGUUCUGCAAGUGGGACGUGAAAGCGCCCGGCUCGACCGGGCGAGGACGUACCGAACUGCGGGACUAGAGGCAGGUAGAGGCGUGUGGAAUUCCGGGUGUAGUGGUGAAAUGCGUAGAGAUCCGGAGGAACACCAGUGGCGAAGGCGACACGCUGGGCCUGGCCUGACGCUCAGACGCGAAAGCAUGGGGAGC
rnacentral:rRNA from 1 species